rnacentral:lncRNA from 1 species
UAGCUCUAUGGCCAGUUUUACCACAAGUCCAGCAAAUAUCCUUAUUUUUAGAGGAUUUUCUCCUAGUUUUUCUACUAGAUUUAUAAGACUCCUUUUUUGAGGACUCUUUUCUAGGUUUGGACUUUCUAUGAGACUUAUAGGAUUUUUUCCUAUGUUUCUUACUAAAUGGAGAAGAAAGGUUAGCAAAUCCAAAAUCUUGACAGAAGGUUCCUAACCUGUAUUUGGAAGCACUGUCACUCUUAAGUUGCUUCUUAAGUUUUAGGUCUGUGUAAAGGUCUAUCCCUACGGUGG